rnacentral:tRNA from 1 species
CAGUGGCCGAGUGGAUAACGCGAUAGCGUUUGAAGCUGAAGGUACUGGGUUCGAGUCCCGGAGUGAA